rnacentral:rRNA from 1 species
AUACGGAGGAUGCAAGCGUUAUCCGGAUUUAUUGGGUUUAAAGGGUGCGUAGGCGGAUGAUUAAGCGUGAGGUGAAAUGCCACUGCUCAACAGUGGAACUGCCUCGCGAACUGGUUGUCUUGAAUGCUCCUGCCGUGGGAGGAAUGUGUGGUGUAGCGGUGAAAUGCAUAGAGAUCACACAGAACACCGAUUGCGAAGGCAUCUCACGAAGGGGUGAUUGACGCUGAGGCACGAAAGCGUGGGGAUCAAACAGGAUUAGAUACCCUGGUAGCCCACGCAGUAAACGAUGAUAACUAACCGCUGGGUCGUAGUGAUUCAGUGGCCAAGCGAAAGCGUUAAGUUAUCCACCUGGGGAGUACGACCGCAAGGUUGAAACUCAAAUGAAUUGGCGGGG